rnacentral:rRNA from 1 species
GACGAACGCUGGCGGCGUGCUUAACACAUGCAAGUCGAACGAAGCUUGAUUUAGGAGUUCUUCGGAAUGAAUAAUGAUAUGACUUAGUGGCGGACGGGUGAGUAACACGUGAGCAACCUGCCCUUCAGAGGGGAAUAACGUUUGGAAACGAACGCUAAUACCCCAUAACAUCGGGAAACGGCAUCGAAUUCCGAUCAAAGAUUUAUCGCUGAGGGAUGGGCUCGCGUCCGAUUAGGUAGUUGGUGAGAUAACAGCCCACCAAGCCGACGAUCGGUAGCCGGACUGAGAGGUUGAACGGCCACAUUGGGACUGAGACACGGCCCAGACUCCUACGGGAGGCAGCAGUGGGGGAUAUUGCACAAUGGGGGAAACCCUGAUGCAGCGACGCCGCGUGAGGGAAGACGGUUUUCGGAUUGUAAAUCUCUGUCUUCGGGGACGAACAGAUGACGGUACCCGAGGAGGAAGCCACGGCUAACUACGUG